CUGGUGUGGCGUUCUUUGAAGAUUGACGGUUCGAUAGCUCACAGAAGAAGCCUCAUUCUUGAAGUAUGAAGACAGACAGUGUAGAACCGCCGUCUUUCGAGAGACCACUCAUUGGCUUCUACAUAAAGGCUCUCGACUGGCGAGGUCCGGAACGCUCCAAGGACCAGUCGCAGUCCCAGAAAAUACAUAAGACGGUUGUUGACCAUGCGCUCAAAGGUCUUCCCCAGACAACUUGUCAGCGCUAUGGGUCGGUAACUGCACGGAUGCGAGGGAUCUUUUCCUGGCUUCAGCAGUGGAACUAUGAUUGCCUCCUUCCAGCCAGAAGGGAGAACACCUUCUAGCCAGACAAAAUUAAAGAAAUCCAGGAGAGAAUUUAAUGAAGUUAACGACAGAUGUUUAAGCAUGGAGUACACUAUGCGAUCAGGUCCAGGUGCUGAGUUUUUAGGGGAUGACAGAGCCCUUUGUAGCUCCGCCAUUGAAAAAGGUGAGUUGUAACCACACCUCUCAUCUAACCCACUAUCAAGUGUUUGCCUUUCAGCAGAUGAUUUAAUCUUUAAGAAAUCUCUGCUGUAAUGGGAUGAACUUGACACUCGUUGGAAAUGUUCCCCGAGGGCAUUGGCCUGCUCCUCCAUACUUUGACACACGGUACCAUUUAUUUGUAACAGUGGUACACAGAAACUUGUAUAGUCGCCCUUUAUUUACUUUAGUCUGUCCCAUAUUAUUUUUGAUGGAGUUGUAGCAUUUAAAGAUGAUACGAAAUUUCUCCAAGAUUCUUUCUUUGCUUGCUUUCGCGUCCAACGUGCUUUCGCUCUAGCUCUCCUGAAAGCAAUUAGGUUUGUUAUUGUGGGGUGUCUUCGAAAGACACCCCACGCUCGGUUUUGUUCUUUGCGUGUGCUUUCACAAUUGCUCGUCCACCAAGGCUUGGAGCGCUUGGGGAGUCGGCCGGAUGUUUGCGGAAUGGACUGUUGAGCGGCAUUUAUAAUGGUAUGAGUGAUCAACUUAUUUGCCUCCUCAACAUUCAAACCCUCAAAAGCAGAAGAUGGGAAAUUGGCUUGUCUUUCAAAUAUGUCCCAAUUUGCCUCUUGUAAUUUCCACCGUGGUGGACGUGUUCUUAUGUUGUUAGUGUGACCGUGAAAUUUAAUAAUGAGCGGAAAAUGGUCGCUACCUCGGGGAUUCUGUUCGACUGUCCAGUCAAGAAGCUGAAAAAUGGAUGGGCUGCAUAGUGAGAUGUCUAUGCAAGAAAAAUUUUGUGUCGAAGA